UACGUAGGGCGCAAGCGUUGUCCGGAAUUAUUGGGCGUAAAGAGCUCGUAGGCGGCUUGUCACGUCGGGUGUGAAAGCCCGGGGCUCAACCCCGGGCCUGCAGCCGAUACGGGCAGACUAGAGUUCGGCAGGGGAGACUGGAAUUCCUGGUGUAGCGGUGAAAUGCGCAGAUAUCAGGAGGAACACCGGUGGCGAAGGCGGGUCUCUGGGCCGAUACUGACGCUGAGGAGCGAAAGCGUGGGGAGCGAACAGG
rnacentral:rRNA from 1 species